GAGCGCUUAGCUCAGUCGGUAGAGCAUCUGACUUUUAAUCAGGGGGUCCCGGGUUCGAGCCCCGGAGCGCUCACCA
rnacentral:tRNA from 1 species